ensembl:lncRNA
AGGGUUUCUACCAUCAGAUCUUUCCACGACGGACUCAAGGUUUCUGCCAUCAGAUCCCUCGCUACAGACUGCAUGCUGACGGACUUCCCUGGGCCUGCUACCUGAGACCUGCUGCUUCCUUCCGGGCUUACUCUGCGGCUUCUUCCUGGACCCACCCGGUACCUGCACCCUCUCGUUGCCCAAGACCGGCCUCGCUGCUCCUGCCCUUCGGCCUCGGGCCAUCGGAACGUCGUGCAAGGGGACUACUGCCGGAUCCUGGUGGGAGAAGCAUUGUAAAACAAUACAGUAUCUUAAUCCUGGCACUUCCACGAAGAAGGAAGGAAGGAAUGAAGAAGGAAAGGAAUGAAGGAAAGAAAGAACAAUAUCUAAGAAGGCUGAUCUGAAAGUAAUGUUGACCCGUGACACUGAAAAUGGGUGUUGGAGGUACAGCAGUAGAGGUUGAAUAUUCUCUCCAAUGUUCCAUAUAAUGUUGUUACCGUGUGAAAGAUGACAGCUGAAGAGCAGUCUAAGAAAGUGGCAUCUGAUAUGAAAGUGUUUACGAAGCAAAUAUGUGCUUCUGAAUUCCUCCACACAGAAAGAAUUGCACUCAUUGACAUUCAUAGAUUCUUGCUGGAUCUUUGUAGAGACCAAACAAUGGAUAUGAGCACAGUGAGGCAGUGGGUGGUGUGUUUCAGCAGUGACAGUAGACUUGUGCAGAUAUUUACAAGUGUUACAUGCAGGCUCUUGUUCACUGCUAGUGAAGACGUGUAAGCUAAUGGUGUUGACUGUGUUGAAAAAUAUUGUUUUGUAGCUGAACAUUUGCUCUAUUAAACAAUAUUAUUGUGCUCUAUGUAUCUGUUGAAGUUUCCUUCAAAAAAAAAUUAUGAGGUAUUAUUUUUAGAGCAACCUACAUAUAUCAGUGGAGGAAUUAAAUUAUGAAGUAUUUUGAAUUAUUAGAUUGCUAUUUGAAACUGUACAUUCAAAUUUAUUUUGUGUUCUGAAAAAGAUUUUGUAACCUUUUUAAAGCCAUGAACAUUUUUCCUUCUAUGAUCUAGAUAUUUGUGUUGUUGCUACAAAACAAGGUUAAAUUUAUUUUUCUUCAAUUCUCUUCAGUCAGUCCAAUUUUGAUUUUGGGAUUAUCUCAAAUUUUAGUUUUGAUAGACACCCUCAAAGCAAAUGAAGCUGUCAGAAGUCAUGUGCAUCAUGUUGUGAUCUUUCUAUGUCAUCUUGAAUUUAUUUUUGUAAAAGAGGUAUUUUUCCAAUACAGAUCUUGAAAU